rnacentral:lncRNA from 1 species
CACUUUUAUGUGACAUGUAGUUAUAGCUGCCUCCGUAUGUCAUAUUUUCUGUGCUCUGGUAUGUUCCCAGAUGCAAACCCAGGAAGGCCAUUCACGACGUUGUGACAGAAGAAGUGGAGGUCAGUACCACUGCCAUCAUGGCUGCAAGCACAGCACAUGGACAGAGCUCGCAGAGUGGAUCCAGAGCCUGCCUGGGCCCCGUUCUCACUGCCCCUCCACUCCCUGGUCUGCCGAGAGCUGCAGGGCUGGUCAGGAAAGCUGCAUUCAUGCCAGAAAUCACCAUUACCUGAGAAUUAUCCUGGAGUCCCGCAUCGCACCUGAAGUCCCCUUGUGUUCCACCUUGGGGGAGGUGGCAAGUGCUGAGUGACCUCCCAGGAGUCCACAUGAGGAAACACAGAGCUUAUCAGUGUGGAGAGUCCACAUCAAGACCCCUCCGCCCUCCAAAGCUGUCAUUAGUGCAGCUGCAACCUGCCAGAGGCAAGCCAGGUUUACCUUUGGCUGCUGACAGCAUUCUUUCCAUUCAGUCAUCCUCCUGUCUUAUCAGACCCUGCCAUGAAUGACUUUUGACUGUUCCCAGACUUCCAAUUUAUUCUCAAAACUGGAAGACUUUUCUUCUUCUUCUUUUUUUUUUAAAUUGAGACGGAGUCUCACAGUGUUGUCCAGGCUGGAGUGCAAUGGCAUGAUCUCGGCUCACCACAACCUCUGCCUCCUGAAUCAAGCAAUUCUCCUGCCUCAGCCCCUGGAGUAGCUGGGAUUACAGAUGUGCACACCACGCCUGGCUAAUUUUUUUUUUUUUAGUAGAGAUGUGAUUUCACUAUAUUAGCCAGGCUGGUCUCGAACUCCUGACCUCAGGUGAUCCUCCUGCCUUGGCCUUACUGUGCCGGGGAAAAUUGGAAGAUUUUUCUACCUGUUCAAAAUAAUCUGUUACACCUUUCUGAAAGCAGAUGACAAAG